rnacentral:tRNA from 1 species
GGGCCCGUAGUCUAGCUUGGUAGGAUGCCCAGGGGCUGAUGCCCCGUACAAGCCUGACGCGCGGGAGAUCCCGGGUUCAAGUCCCGGCGGGCCCACCA